rnacentral:rRNA from 1 species
UCAAUGGCUUCACGAGGGUUACACUGUCUCCUUUUUCUAAUCAGUGAAACUGAUCUCCCCGUGAAGAAGCGGGGAUAUUACUAUAAGACGAGAAGACCCCAUGGAGCUUUAAACUAAAUAGGUAACCUCUACAAAUUACAUGGUAAUCUUGGCUUUUAUCUAUUAGUUUUGGGUUGGGGUGACCGCGGAGAAUAGCCUAACCUCCGCAAUGAAAAGAAUAAUAUCCUAAUCUAAGAGGGACACCUCUAAGAAUUAAUAAAUUAACAUAUGAUGAUCCAAUACUUACAUUUGAUCAAUGAACCAAGUUACCCUGGGGAUAACAGCGCAAUCCACUUCAAGAGUCCCUAUCGACAAGUGGGUUUACGACCUCGAUGUUGGAUCAGGGUAUCCCGGUGGUGCAGCCGCUACUAAAGGUUCGUUUGUUCAACGAUUAAAACCCU